CGGCCGCUCCCGGAGCUGACUUGGAGCACUGGGACCAAAGGGAGUCGAGACUGCCAUCUGCGCGCGCCCGGCUCUGCGCGCCUCCGCCGCCAGAUGUGGGGGGAUGGGAGGCCCCCUCCGCGGCCCCUUCCCCACCCAGCCCAGAAAGCUGAACUGGUAAGAGGUCUGUUUUUCCUGAACCCAUCCACAGCUGGGAGAUUAAUCAACCACACUGAAAACGGGGGGUGUGGGGGAGGGAAAGGAAGAGUUGGAAC
ensembl:antisense Hotairm1 Hoxa transcript antisense RNA, myeloid-specific 1